CCUACGGGAGGCAGCAGUGGGGAAUAUUGCACAAUGGGGGAAACCCUGAUGCAGCGACGCCGCGUGAGUGAAGAAGUACUUCGGUAUGUAAAGCUCUAUCAGCAGGGAAGAAAAUGACGGUACCUGAGUAAGAAGCCCCUGCUAACUACGUGCCAGCAGCCGCGGUAAUACGUAGGGGGCGAGCGUUAACCGGAUUUACUGGGGGUAAAGGGAGCGUAGACGGCAGUGCAAGUCUGGAGGGAAAGGCGGGGGCUCAACCCCCGGACUGCUCUGGAAACUGGACGGCUGGAGUGCAGGAGAGGUAAGUGGAAUUCCUGGUGUAGCGGUGAAAUGCGUAGAUAUUAGGAGGAACACCAGUGGCGAAGGCGGCUUACUGGACUGUAACUGACGUUGAGGCUCGAAAGCGUGGGGAGCAAACAGGAUUAGAUACCCCAGUAGUC
rnacentral:rRNA from 1 species